GCCAGCUUGGCUCAGUGGUUGAGCAUCAGUCUGUGAACCAGGAGGUCAGGGUUCGAUUCCCGGUCAGGGCA
rnacentral:tRNA from 1 species